ACUCAAAUGAAUUGACGGGGGUCCGCACAAGCGGUGGAACAUGUGGUUUAAUUCGACACUACGCGAGGAACCUUACCUAGGCUUGACAUGUACUUGACCGCUGUAGAAAUACGGUUUUUCAGGCGAAAGCCUGGACGGGUACACAGGUGCUGCAUGGCUGUCGUCAGCUCGUGUCGUGAGAUGUUGGGUUAAGUCCUUUAACGAGCGCAACUCCUGUUAUUAGUUGCUACUUCGCAAGAAGGCACUCUAAUAAGACUGCCUGGGAAACCAGGAGGAAGGUGGGAAUGACGUCAAGUCCGCAUGGUCCUUAUGUCUAGGGCAACACACGUGUUACAAUGGUUGGUACAAAGAGAUGCGAGCUUGUAAGAGUAAGCUAAGCUCAUAAAGCCAAUCUAAGUUCGGAUUGAGGUCUGCAACUCGACCUCAUGAAGUUGAAAUCGCUAGUAAUCGCGUAUCAGAACGACGCGGUGAAUACGUUCUCGGACCUUGUACACACCGCCCGU
rnacentral:rRNA from 1 species